UACAGAGGUGGCAAGCGUUGUUCGGAAUUACUGGGCGUAAAGGGCGCGUAGGCGGCCAUCUAAGUCAGACGUGAAAUCCCCCGGCUUAACCUGGGAACUGCGUCUGAUACUGGAAGGCUUGAGUAUGGGAGAGGGAUGUAGAAUUCCAGGUGUAGCGGUGAAAUGCGUAGAUAUCUGGAGGAAUACCGGUGGCGAAGGCGGCAUCCUGGACCAUUACUGACGCUGAGGCGCGAAAAGCUAGGGGAGCAAACGGGG
rnacentral:rRNA from 1 species